rnacentral:tRNA from 1 species
GGGCGAGUGGCGAAACGGCAGACGCAGGGGACUUAAAAUCCCUCGGGGGGCGACCCCCGCUGCGGGUUCGAAUCCCGCCUCGCCCACCA